rnacentral:rRNA from 1 species
UACGUAGGGACCGAGCGUUAUCCGGAUUCAUUGGGCGUAAAGAGCUCGUAGGCGGUCUGUCGCGUCGAUCGUGAAAACUUGGGGCUUAACCCUGAGCUUGCGGUCGAUACGGGCAUGACUGGAGUUCGGCAGGGGAGACUGGAAUUCCUGGUGUAGCGGUGAAAUGCGCAGAUAUCAGGAGGAACACCGGUGGCGAAGGCGGGUCUCUGGGCCGAUACUGACGCUGAGGAGCGAAAGCGUGGGGAGCAAACAGG